rnacentral:rRNA from 1 species
UACAGAGGGGGCCAGCGUUAUUCGGAAUUAUUGGGCGUAAAGGGCGCGUAGGCGGCCAUGCGUGUCUUCCGUGAAAUCCCUCGGCUUAACUGAGGACGUGCGGAAGAAAUUGCAAGGCUCGAGUCCGGGAGAGGGGGGUGGAAUUCCCAGUGUAGCGGUGAAAUGCGUAGAUAUUGGGAGGAACACCGGUGGCGAAGGCGGCAUCCUGGACCGGCAUUGACGCUGAGGCGCGGAAAGCCAGGGGAGCAAACGGG